rnacentral:rRNA from 1 species
CGCGAUUUCGUGCUAAGGUANGNNNNUAAUUUGUCUUUUUAUUGGAGACGAGUAUGAAUGGUGAAAACGAGGUUUAACUGUCUCUAUUUAUAAAAUUUAAAUUGAUUUUUAGGUGAAAAAUCCUAAAUAGCUGUGAAGGACGAAAAGACCCUAUAGAGUUUGUAGUGUAAAGUUUUUUAUUGAUUGGUAUUAUACAGAAGAAAAAUUUUCACUUUUAUUGGGGCAAUAUAAGAACAAAAAAACUCUUUUUAUUUGUUUAUUAUGAUGGUAAUUUUUUGACCCUCAAAGAGAGAUAAGAAAAACUACCUUAGGGAUAACAGCGUAAUCUUUCCAGAGAGAUCUUAUUGAAGGAAGGGUUUGCGACCUCGAUGUUGGACUAAGGUAACUUUAAAAUGCAGAAGUUUUAAUAAGUAGGCCUGUUCGGCCUUUAAAACCUUACAUGAUCUGAGUUCAAAACCGGAGA